rnacentral:rRNA from 1 species
UACGUAGGUGGCAAGCGUUAUCCGGAUUUAUUGGGUUUAAAGGGUGCGCAGGCGGAGGUGCAAGUCAGCGGUCAAAUUGCGGGGCUCAACCCCGUACUGCCGUUGAAACUGCAUCCCUUGAGUGCGCGAGAAGUAUGCGGAAUGCGUGGUGUAGCGGUGAAAUGCAUAGAUAUCACGCAGAACGCCGAUUGCGAAGGCAGCUUACCGGCGCUCAACUGACGCUGAGGCACGAAAGUGCGGGUAUCGAACAGG